AGUGAACGCUGGCGGUAGGCCUAACACAUGCAAGUCGAACGGCAGCACCGUAAGAGCUUGCUCUCACGGGCGGCGAGUGGCGGACGGGUGAGGAAUACAUCGGAAUCUACUCUUUCGUGGGGGCUAACGUCGGGAAACUUACGCUAAUACCGCAUUCGACCUCCGUGUGAAAGCAGGGGAUCUUUGGACCUUGUGCGAGUGAAUGAGCCGAUGUCGGCUGAGCUCGUUGGCGGGGUAAAGGCCCACAAAGGCGACGAUCCGUAGCUGGUCCGAGGGGAAGGUCAGCCACACGGGAAGAGAGACAGGGUCGAGACACCGAGGGUGGGCAACGGUGGGGAAUAUUGGGCAAUGGGGGCGAGCGUAAUCCAGCCAAACCGGGUGAGGGAAGAAGGCCUUCGGGUUGGAAAGCCCUUUUGUUGGGAGAGAAGAGCAGCUGGUUAAUACCCCGCUGUACUGACGGUACCCAAAGAAUAAGCACCGGCUAACUUCGUG
rnacentral:rRNA from 1 species